rnacentral:lncRNA from 1 species
UGGCUCAGCCUGAGACAAGUAAAGUUAUAUUCCACAAAACUGAGACGUAUCAGGAUGGAUUUCCGAGCAGCCGUUUUUCUAAUGUGUAUUUUGGUGUCAGCAUCUUUUAUCACUCAAAGUAAAGCAGUCUUUGGCCCUGCCCCACCCGCAGAUGGGAAAAGAUACUCAAAGUUUUCACCAGAAGCGGAUGAAGGGAACUUCAACCAGAACUCAUUUGACGAAGGACGGACUAUUCGAGAUUUAUGCGUGGCUAUGAGGGGCAUCUGUGAAGGAGGAAAAAGAAAGUGAUGAAAACAUCUCAUAACAAGUUUAAAGCUUCUUUGCGUCGUGUUAUAAUAAUCAAAACUAUAUGUAAAGUUUCGUAGAAUAUUGUGGAUCACGGAUUGUAAGGAAAGAUAGUAAAAUAAAUAAAAUCAAUCGUAAAAUUCAA